rnacentral:rRNA from 1 species
GCAGUAGCCGCGGGAAUACAGAGGGUGCGAGCGUUAAUCGGAUUUACUGGGCGUAAAGCGUGCGUAGGCGGCUUUUUAAGUCGGAUGUGAAAUCCCUGAGCUUAACUUAGGAAUUGCAUUCGAUACUGGGAAGCUAGAGUAUGGGAGAGGAUGGUAGAAUUCCAGGUGUAGCGGUGAAAUGCGUAGAGAUCUGGAGGAAUACCGAUGGCGAAGGCAGCCAUCUGGCCUAAUACUGACGCUGAGGUACGAAAGCAUGGGGAGCAAACAGGAUUAGAUACCCCCGUAGUCCCUGUCUCUUAUAC